CAAAUCAGAUAUACUGCCGGAAAACAACAGAGCUCAACUGGUUUUGGAAGUUAAGCAGGAUUUGGUCUAGUUAGGACUUGGAUGGGAGAUUACCAGCAAAUACCAGUGUUCUCUUGGC
rnacentral:rRNA from 1 species